ACGUAGGGAGCAAGCGUUGUCCGGAUUUACUGGGUGUAAAGGGUGCGUAGGCGGAUUGGCAAGUCAGAAGUGAAAUCCAUGGGCUUAACCCAUGAACUGCUUUUGAAACUGUUAGUCUUGAGUGAAGUAAAGGUAGGCGGAAUUCCCGGUGUAGCGGUGAAAUGCGUAGAGAUCGGGAGGAACACCAGUGGCGAAGGCGGCCUACUGGGCUUUAACUGACGCUGAGGCACGAAAGUGUGGGUAGCAAACAG
rnacentral:rRNA from 1 species